rnacentral:rRNA from 1 species
GUUAUCUGAACCUUCGGGGAACGAUAACGGCGUCGAGCGGCGGACGGGUGAGUAAUGCCUAGGAAAUUGCCCUGAUGUGGGGGAUAACCAUUGGAAACGAUGGCUAAUACCGCAUGAUGCCUACGGGCCAAAGAGGGGGACCUUCGGGCCUCUCGCGUCAGGAUAUGCCUAGGUGGGAUUAGCUAGUUGGUGAGGUAAGGGCUCACCAAGGCGACGAUCCCUAGCUGGUCUGAGAGGAUGAUCAGCCACACUGGAACUGAGACACGGUCCAGACUCCUACGGGAGGCAGCAGUGGGGAAUAUUGCACAAUGGGCGCAAGCCUGAUGCAGCCAUGCCGCGUGUGUGAAGAAGGCCUUCGGGUUGUAAAGCACUUUCAGUCGUGAGGAAGGUAGUGUAGUUAAUAGCUGCAUUAUUUGACGUUAGCGACAGAAGAAGCACCGGCUAACUCCGUGCCAGCAGCCGCGGUAAUACGGAGGGUGCGAGCGUUAAUCGGAAUUACUGGGCGUAAAGCGCAUGCAGGUGGUUUGUUAAGUCAGAUGUGAAAGCCCGGGGCUCAACCUCGGAAUAGCAUUUGAAACUGGCAGACUAGAGUACUGUAGAGGGGGGUAGAAUUUCAGGUGUAGCGGUGAAAUGCGUAGAGAUCUGAAGGAAUACCGGUGGCGAAGGCGGCCCCCUGGACAGAUACUGACACUCAGAUGCGAAAGCGUGGGGAGCAAACAGGAUUAGAUACCCUGGUAGUCCACGCCGUAAACGAUGUCUACUUGGAGGUUGUGGCCUUGAGCCGUGGCUUUCGGAGCUAACGCGUUAAGUAGACCGCCUGGGGAGUACGGUCGCAAGAUUAAAACUCAAAUGAAUUGACGGGGGCCCGCACAAGCGGUGGAGCAUGUGGUUUAAUUCGAUGCAACGCGAGAACCUUACCUACUCUUGACAUCCAGAGACUUUCCAGAGAUGGAUUGUGCC